CAAGCGUCCAUACAUGUCUCUGUAACCUGCAUAUAGACUGCAUAGAAUAGUCAAGUCAUGCUAGGUACAGCCUGUACAGUACUAGUUCUCCACCGGAUCUUGCGAAGUGCAGCCAGGAAGCUCAAUAGAUUCCACGUCGCUAAGACUCUCCGCACUUUGACUAAACACUAUCUGUAGUCGUGGAAACGUGCCUCUCCGGUUGGACAUCAAGCAGAGAGACUGGAGCAGAUGACAUGCAGAUCCACGUGUUUAACUACAACACUCUGGAGAGAGCUCACAUGUUUGAUGCCCACUCUGACUACAUCCGCUGCAUCGCAGUUCACCCAACACAACCUUACCAGCAGCGCUGUAGGACUGAGACAGGAAGUGGUUGUGUAGUCAGGUGUUCGAGGGCCACACCCACUAUGUCAUGCAGAUCGUCAUUAACCCUAAAGACAACAACCAGUUAUCCAGUGCCUCCCUGGACAGUACCAUUAAGGUGUGGCAGCUGGGUUCUUCCACCCCUAACUUCACUCUGGAGGGCCAUGAGAAAGGAGUCAACUGUAUCGACUAUUACACUGGAGGGGACAAGCCCUAACUUGUAUCAGGAGCUGACGACCGCCUGGUCACGAUCUGGGACUACCAGAAUAAGACAUGUGUGUGCAGACUCUAGAGGGCCAUACCCAGAAUGUGUCCUGUGUCAGCUUUCACCCUGAGCUGCCAAUCAUCCUCACUGGCUCCGAGCACGGCACCGUGAGAGUCUGGCAUUCCAGCACGUACCGCCUGGAGAACACACUGAACUAUGGGAUGGAGCGUGUGUGGUGUGUGUGUAGCCAGCGAAGCGCCAAUAGUGUGGCGCUGGGAUAUGAUGAAGGCAGCAUCAUCAUCAAGCUCAAGGAUGAUCCAUGGGAGAGGCUGAGAUACAGGGCGGAGAGAGGCUGUCCCUGUCCCUGGCCGUCAAAGACAUGGGCAGCUGUGAGAUCUACCCCCAGACCAUCCAGCACAACCCCAACGGCAGGUCAGUGUGUGCGUGUGUUACCAUGCUUGUGUUUGUGUGCAUGUGUGUACUAGUUGCUCAUCAAAUGUAAAAAAGUGUAUAUAUAUAUAUAUAGUACAUGUACAGUAUUCUAUAUAUACACACAGUAUGUAAUUUAGCUUAGCAGAUGCUUUUAUCCAAAGCUACUUACAGUCAUAUGUGCAUGCAUUUUUAUUUAAGGAUGGCCCCGGGAAUCGAACCCACAAUCCUGGUGUUGAAAGCAUCAUGCUGUACCAACUGAGCCUUACAGGACCAUUAAUAUACAGUAAAUGUGUGUGUGUCAGUGGAGGCUGCUGAGGGGAGGACGG